rnacentral:rRNA from 1 species
UUUUAUCAGGGAAUAAACCCCCGCUCGUGAGCGGGGCUGAAGGUACCUGAAGAAUAAGCAUCGGCUAACUCCGUGCCAGCAGCCGCGGUAAUACGGAGGAUGCAAGCGUUAUCCGGAUUCAUUGGGUUUAAAGGGUGCGCAGGCGGAUUGGUAAGUCAGGGGUGAAAUCCCACAGCUCAACUGUGGAACUGCCUUUGAUACUGUCAGUCUAGAGUAUAGUUGAAGUUGGCGGAAUGUGUCAUGUAGCGGUGAAAUGCUUAGAUAUGACACAGAACACCGAUCGCGAAGGCAGCUAGCUAAGCUAUAACUGACGCUCAUGCACGAAAGCGUGGGGAUCAAACAGGAUUAGAUACCCUGGUAGUCCACGCUGUAAACGAUGAUUACUCGAUGUUGGCGAUACACAGUCAGCGUCUGAGCGAAAGCAAUAAGUAU